rnacentral:other from 1 species
UUUCCCCUGCGGUGUUCGACAGACUCUUAUAUUCUUUGAACCAAGUAUCUUAACAGGUCGCGACUCAAACGCCGCUGUUGUGAACGUCCCUCGCGGAUGAUCCUGAUGCGGCAGAGAAGUGACCCUCUUGAACCCUACGGUUCGAGAUGCUGGGUCAACGGCACAGGCGGGGGUUCU